UUUUUUUUUGACUCUUAAGCAUGAAUCUGAACAAUACGGUGACGCAAAGAUUUCAAGAAAUAACAAGGGUGCCUGCACAUUGUGGUGCAUACACAAUGCUGUACAAUCACAACAAGGUAAUUGGGAAAAGCCUUUCACAGUCAGGAUGUCGGUGUUUGGAUGAUUGUGACAUCAUGGCCAAUCACGAAUACGUGGACCCGUCGAGUACGAGAGAAAUGCUGCAGUGUGGGCUUCUGGGAGGAGGAAAAAAAAAACAGCUGGCGAUGCUGCAAUUAUGCAGUCUGUGUUUAGGUUUCUGACGCUUAAUGAUUGCACCAGCACAGAAAUCCUUCCCUGGCUGCUGGAACUGCGUGUUUAACAGGACUGCGAUGAGUAAUUGACCAUUUGUAACAACGUUGAACGUGGACGGUACUUGGGCGCUGAUUGUCUAUUAUGCAUUGCUGGGCAAGCAUGGGAAAACACACUCAUUAACCAAUGGUUAAAUUGCAUCGCCAUUACGUGCCCACUACCCCCACCCGAGUGGCAGGACCGUGACGUUGUCAUGCUUACGUAUGAAGACAGCACUCAUGCACGUGUGUGUAUCAUACAUUGUGUUGGAAAUGCUAUGUCUAAAUCAUAUUGAAACCCAAUUUUGCAGCUUCGCUUGAUUCCACAUUUUGCAUUGUAGUUAGUAUAUUUCACUCCUAUGUACGAUAAGAACACACACAAACAUGCAGCUCCAUUUGCGAAGGCCAAAUCUGAAUCUCAAUUAAAAUCUCAAUUAAAUUGAAGAGAAAAAGAAGCAUUAUUUGUCCUCAGGGAGCAAUUUGAGAAUCCACCGGAAAUUAAAGUAAUGGCUUUUUAAUUUAUGUAUUGAUGGGUUUCCUGGCAUUGACAGCAGGAAUUCUGAGUUUACAUCCUUACCCACUAUUUCGUUUUAAGCAGAAGAGAUUUUCUUUUUUAACACAGAACACAGCAAAGGCAGGCUACUGUGCUUUCACACAGACACAGCAUCUCAGAAUCACUUAAUCAGUUGAAAGACUGCAUCAACCAGCAUCUGUUGUGGCGUAAAAAGUCAUUUUUGGAUAGUGUUUUCAACAAAUGGCUUGUGUGAAACAUCACUUUCCCUCCACUUCAAGAUUUAGCAUUUACACAAGUAUUGUCCUAGCGCUGAUCCUACAUCCAAGGCGGAAUACUGCCAGGGUGACUUGGUCACCCCCACUCCGUUUUAGGGUCGUUUUAUACAGAACAAAAACCUGGGUAAAUCCUGGCUUUUAACAUGCUGUGGUAAAGGUGCUACUGUUUUAUCAUUGUUUUGUGAUACAGUAGUUCAGCUAUGCUGCAAUAGGUGUUGAAGGUAUAUGGGGCAUUGUGUGGCAGCCUGCUGACACACUACAAUGUCAUAGCCUUUCUGGUUUGUGCCCCCACCUUAUCGCCUCCAUCUCUGGUGCCACCUCAAAUCACCCGAGUGCCUGCGGUAAAGCCCUGUCACAGCGCCAACGAAAACAGGGGUGGGGGUGGAGGACAGUGGGGGAUGGAUUAAUGCCAGCAUGGUUGCCGGGCACACAUCCAGCCCGCAUCAUUCAGACACCCACAACUGCAGUACGACAUUGCCAUCUACCAUAUAUACACUAUCCUGCCCUGUUUUCUGCUCAUUUCCCCUCUAGGUAGCCAAGCCAAGCCUCCUCAGUGCCUCCGGCUCACAUAAAUCAACUAAUCCUCCUGCAUUAUUAACAGUGUCGCGCUGGAGAGAAAGAAGGGGUUAGAGAGACAUCGGGAGUGACAGCAAAGCCUUUUUGUGCACAGCAAUGGAGAAAGGUGUCUCUGCAAGGGAGACAAGAGAGAAAACAUAUAAAAGGAGUGUCUGGAUGUCAAGCAAGGAGACAUUCGUGGAAGAGCAGUACUUGAUAAAAAACCUUGCAGACCUUGCAAUAAUCCAAUCUGUAUUGUGACACUAUCUCCACCAUGUUCCGGUCUUCUCGAAUCCUCAUCGUGUCACUUAAGAGUCCUCUAAGAUCUGCUUCAUUCUGUGACAACAUGAAGCGUAAUGAAUCUGAGCUGUUGUUGAGACAGUGCAUCUUGUAAAAGUGGUCUGGUGCGCUGAGGUGAGUUUGGGAGCCAACCGAGGCAGUAACGAUCAGGGGGAAUGGAGGUCACCACAAUAACUUUCCACAUCUGCUUUCCACAUCUGUUUGGUUAGCAGCUUAUCAGGAGACUGCCGACACCGAGCCAGCUCCGUGUCGAUGUUCUAUUUUGAGCUCCACUUCUUGAGUGGUGCCAGCGGUGCACUUGUAUAGGCACUCAUUUGGUGCUCAUCCCUCAGAGCGAUGGAGAUUAAGGAAUUAAGGGAGACAGGAACAUUGGUAUGUGGUGUACACACCUGCCUGUCUGAGCAAUCCUAAAUCAAAUGUGCAAAACUGGAUGUAUAGGGACAACGAAGGCCAGUUUGUUCCCAACAGCAGCAUCGCACAUAUUCAUAAGGCACUGGACCGGAGGCCCCCAUGGACAGCUCGGACUGAGCAGCAGGCAGGGAGGAUAAGGGCCCCGUUGUCAUGGGAACAAAAGAGAACCAGAGCUUGAGGCAAGGAGACUGAAUGCUGGCCAUUAAAGCGAUAGAGGGCUGAUGCAUUUGGUCAGUGUGCUGCCUACCUUAAACCCCACCAAAGAGAAACUGUUGCAGCUCAUAGCCCGCACGCUUUUCUCCUAAAGAUAAUCCAGUUUCAAUCGGAGGGCUUCAGGGACAAAGGUGUCAUAAUCAUUCUCCCGUUCGGGUCACUAAUCCGCUCUGAUUAGCAUUUUCGCCCAUUAAUGCAACCCUGUGAGGUGCGAUUUGUUUUUUAUUGUUUUUUUGUCUUAAGGAAUUAUACAAUAAUGGAUAUAGAAGGAUUCGUGUGGGCCAAGAAGUGAUGGUUAAAAUGGCUAAAAAAAAAACAGCAAGAAGCACCCACCCACAAUGUGUUCUUUUGAAUGUUGGGAAUGGUCAAAAUCUGUACAUACUGUAACGCCGCUAUAUAAAAAUGAGACUAUUAUUAUUUGUUUCCAUAUUGUGCCAAAUCAUUUUCUCAUCUGCAAGGUGGCUGUCUGAAGGAACACAAUGACAUUUUAGACACACGACCAGAAAUGUGAUGCGGACAAGAGAUGAUCGGAAUAUUGCAGGUGUUGGUUGACUACAUCAGUGAUCAGCAAGCAACUCAGGAAAAUGUUACAAGUGUGCAAGUUAUUCCCGGGGGGAUCCAACGCACUCUGCAAACAAGAUACUCAGUGGGGCCAACGUCGCCAGCAUAUAAGACAAUGGAUG